rnacentral:rRNA from 1 species
UACAGAGGUCUCAAGCGUUGUUCGGAUUCAUUGGGCGUAAAGGGUGCGUAGGCGGCGCGGUAAGUCGGGUGUGAAAUCCUGGAGCUCAACUCCAGAACUGCCUUUGAUACUGGCGAUCUCGAGUCCGGGAGAGGUGAGUGGAACUGCGAGUGUAGAGGUGAAAUUCGUAGAUAUUCGCAAGAACACCAGUGGCGAAGGCGGCUCACUGGCCCGGUACUGACGCUGAGGUGCGAAAGCGUGGGGAGCAAACAGG